rnacentral:snoRNA from 14 species
GUUUAAAAUAGCCUCACCAAUCAGGUUCCUUCUUCAUAGGGAUCUGGUGAUACAAUGGCUGCCAAGAACAAACUCUUGAUAGUGUAUGCAGCCCGUUCCAUGCCUGGAGUUCCCCUUAGAGACCUCAAAACAGUC